CCUAUGGGUGGCUGCAGUGGGGAAUAUUGGACAAUGGGCGAAAGCCUGAUCCAGCCAUGCCGCGUGUGUGAAGAAGGCCUUCGGGUUGUAAAGCACUUUCAGUGGGGAAGAAAGCCUUGGGGCUAAUACCCUCGAGGAAGGACAUCACCCACAGAAGAAGCACCGGCUAACUCCGUGCCAGCAGCCGCGGUAAUACGGAGGGUGCGAGCGUUAAUCGGAAUUACUGGGCGUAAAGCGCGCGUAGGCGGUCUGAUAAGCCGGUUGUGAAAGCCCCGGGCUCAACCUGGGAACGGCAUCCGGAACUGUCAGGCUAGAGUGCAGGUGAGGAAGGUAGAAUUCCCGGUGUAGCGGUGAAAUGCGUAGAGAUCGGGAGGAAUACCAGUGGCGAAGGCGGCCUUCUGGACUGACACUGACGCUGAGGUGCGAAAGCGUGGGUAGCAAACAGGAUUAGAUACCCUUGUAGU
rnacentral:rRNA from 1 species